rnacentral:lncRNA from 1 species
AUCUUUUUAAAAAAAGUAAUGGAAAGAUAGUAGAUGAGAAUUUAAAACCAAAAUUGAUUUACCUUUUUAUCAUUUUCUGCAGAAAACUAACCAUGAAGUGUCUACCCAUCCAAAGAAAGGAUAAAGAAGGAAGGAGAAAAGAAGAAUCUAUCAACAGAAAGUACAGAAGGAAGAGGGGGAAAAGGGAGUGAGAAAACCACACGCUAAAAUUAAUGUUUAUACACAAGGACAAGGAUGUAGCUAACGGAAUACACCAAAAUAAAUGAAAAUACUUCUUUUGCAUCCAUGAAAUAUGUAUUCAUGCUAUCCUGGAGGUACAAUGUGUGAUUACUUUACAAAUGUAAAAGAAAGGAUACAAGGAUUUGCAAAGUAACAUAAUGAAGAGUUUGAUGUCAAUGAUUUAUGAGCAGUUUCUCCUCUUAUCUUUCAAAGGUGCAUAUUUGUUUAACUUGGAGGCUGAAGAAGCAAAGGCAAAGAAAGUUCACUAAUUUGCACAAGAUCACACAGAUAGAAAUUAUGAAGUGCCAAUUUGAAUCAGGAAAUCUGCAUCUACCAUGGUUAGAAGAUACAUGA